UACGUAGGGAGCGAGCGUUGUCCGGAAUUACUGGGUGUAAAGGGAGCGUAGGCGGGGAUGCAAGUUGGAUGUUUAAACUAUCGGCUCAACCGGUAAUUGCAACCAAAACUGCAACUCUUGAGUGAAGUAGAGGCAGGCGGAAUUCCUAGUGUAGCGGUGAAAUGCGUAGAUAUUAGGAGGAACACCAGUGGCGAAGGCGGCCUGCUGGGCUUUAACUGACGCUGAGGCUCGAAAGCGUGGGGAGCAAACAG
rnacentral:rRNA from 1 species